rnacentral:rRNA from 1 species
UACGUAGGGGGCUAGCGUUGUCCGGAUUUAUUGGGCGUAAAGAGCGUGUAGGCGGCCAGGUAGGUCCGUUGUGAAAACUCGAGGCUCAACCUCGAGACGUCGGCGGAAACCAUCUGGCUAGAGUCCGGAAGAGGAGAGUGGAAUUCCUGGUGUAGCGGUGAAAUGCGCAGAUAUCAGGAGGAACACCGGUGGCGAAGGCGGGUCUCUGGGCCGAUAUUGACGCUGAGGAGCGAAAGCGUGGGGAGCAAACAGG